GACGAACGCUGGCGGCGUGCUUAACACAUGCAAGUCGAACGGAAAGGCCCUGCUUUUGUGGGGUGCUCGAGUGGCGAACGGGUGAGUAACACGUGAGUAACCUGCCCUUGACUUUGGGAUAACUUCAGGAAACUGGGGCUAAUACCGGAUAGGAGCUCCCGCUGCAUGGUGGGGGUUGGAAAGUUUCGGCGGUUGGGGAUGGACUCGCGGCUUAGCAGCUUGUUGGUGGGGUAGUGGCUUACCAAGGCUUUGAGGGGUAGCCGGCCUGAGAGGGUGACCGGCCACAUUGGGACUGGGAUACGGCCCAGAGUGCUACGGGAGGCAGCGGUGGGGAAUAUUGCACGAUGGGCGGAAGCCGGAUGCAGCAACGCCGCGUGCGGGAUGACGGCCUUCGGGUUGUAAACCGCUUUCGCCUGUGACGAAGCGUGAGUGACGGUAAUGGGGAAAGAAGCACCGGCUAACUACGU
rnacentral:rRNA from 1 species